AGAGAGGCCCACAGACCCUGCAGCCAGAGAGCAGCCUGAAAUGUGAGACCUGGCAAGCCCUUGGCCAGGUUCUCAGAGCCUGAGAAGCAACCUCAGUGAAAUCCAGAAGGCACUAUAUCAAGAAGCCGGCAGUUUGGGAACAAUCCUGCUAAGUCAUAAAUGCUUCAAAUUCUUCGGCUUUUGCCUUCAGAAUUUCUGGCAGCCUUGGGCAGGGGGCAAGUGUUCGCGGACAGACACUGACUCGCCUCGUCUCUGUUAGGGAAGGCCAAGACAGACUGAGACGGAGAAGCCAGCAGACCAACUCUCCUCUAGAAAAGUCUGCGGGUGGGAAGUGCUUUGCUGUGGAUACUCUGGUGCCCACCCAGAACCCCAUUAAAACCCAGGCUCCCAUGCCCCCACAUCCUCUCCCUUCCCCCUACAGCUGCCUCCCAGGCCGCCAUCAACCUCAGCCAAGGAGGCGGGUGGUCCAAGUCUACACGCCCUCCCCUGGGGACCCAAGCACUGGUCCACAGUGACACAGAGGCCAGUACCUUGUUUCUGUCCAUGCCGUCUCCACGUAACCAGCCCUUCAGAACUCCUGGCGAGAGUUGCAGCUGCCUCACUGUUGAGCUUUCCUCCCCACCCGCUCCUGCUCCCUCUCAGGUGUUGGCCCUGUGAUCCGCGCUCCCAGCAGGUGUAUCUUGUUCCCCACUCCCUGUCUGCCUGGCACUGGCAGUCCCCCAUCUUAGAGUGGGCUUCCCAGGAAGCUGAUCUGCAGAGCCUAGAAAGGGGAGGAAGAGUCAUGGGGUCUGGGUGCUGAGAGCACUGUGAAAUAAUCUCAUUCAGCCCCACCGCCCCACCGUGGAAACAGCCUGCCAGAGGCCACAGAGUGGACUGUUAGUACAGCUGGCCCCAGGCGCUCUGACCCCACUACGGGAUGAUAUGAAAAUUGCUUACAUGUCCGAUGUUGGGCUGCACCCCACAGGCCUGCAAGCCUUGUAGUUGUUCAGCCUCAAGACAACUAAACAGUCCAGAGACAGUGACAGAGGCCUCAGUGGUUUCACGGCUAGGGAGACCUUACACGUCUGAAGCAAGGCCAGAGCGACACCCCGCCAUGUGCGGUGGGGAGGACACAGCAGAGGUCUUCGCCACCCGGAGGAGAAGGCGGCUACCGCUUACAGGGGAACUGACAUCAGGUUGGCGCAUCAGCUACCAGGGAAACCAGCGGCAGGAGCACGCCCCUCACAACCCCUCAGUCUCCUGCCAGCCCCCAGGAGAUCCCAGCUGUUGCAGCCUCCUGGGGCACAGAGAAGUGUGGACCUAGGCCUGGAAGCAGGCCUGGAAGGGCAAAGAGAGGACCCCAC
ensembl:lncRNA